rnacentral:lncRNA from 10 species
UUGUACUUUGCUUCUUUAUUUUUAAUUUUUCCAUAAGUUAUUGGAGCACAGGUGGUAUUUGGUUAUAUGAGCAAGUUCUUUAGUGGUGAUUGGUGAGACACUGGUGCACUCAUCACCCAAGCAGUAUGCACUGCACCAUAUUUGUAGGCUUUUAUCCCUCGCCCCCUCCCACUCUGCCCCCCAAGUCCCCAAAGUCCAUUGCAUCAUUCUUAUGACUUUGUAUUCUCAGAGCUUAGCUCCCACAUAUCAGUGAGAACCAUACAAUGGUUUGGUUUUCCAUUUCUGAAUUACUUCACUUAGAAUAAUAGUCUCUAAUCUCAUCCAGGUCACUGCAAAUGCUGUUAAUUCAUUUCUUUUUAUGGCUGCAUAGUAUUCCAUCGUAUACAUAUACCACAGUUUCUUUAUCCACUUGUUGAUUGAUGGGCAUUUGGGUUGGUUCCAUGAUUUUGCAAUUAUGAAUUAUGCUGCUGUAAGCAUGAGUGUGCAAGUAUCUUUUUCAAAUAGUGACUUCUUUUCCUCUGAGUAGAUAUCCAGUAGUGGGAUUGUUGGAUCCAAUGGUAGUUCUACUUUUAGUUCUUUAAGGAAUCUCCACACUGUUUUCCACAGUGGCUGUACUAGUUUACAUUCCCAUCAGCAGUGUAGAAGUGUUCCCUGAUCACUGCAUCCACACCAACAUCUACCGUUUUUUUUGUUUUUUGAUUAUGGCCAUUCUUGCAGGAGUAAGGUGGUAUGGCAUGGUGGUUUUGAUUUGCAUUUCCCUGAUCAUUAGUGUUGUUGAGCAUUUUUUCAUGUUUGCUGGUCAUUUGUAUGUCUUCUUUUGAGAAUUGUCUAUUCAUUUCCUUAGCCCACUUUUUGAUGAGAUUGUUUGUUUUUUUUUCUUACUGAUUUGCUUGAGUUUGUUGUAGAUUCUGGGUAUUAGUCCUUUGUCAGAUGUAUAGAUUGUGAAGAUUUUCUCCCACUCUGUGGGUUGUCUGUUUACUCUGCUGACAGUUCCUUUUGCCUUGUGAAAGCGCUUUAGUUUAAUUAAGUCUCAGCUAUUUAUCUUUGUUUAUAUUGCAUUUGCUUUUGGGUUCUUGGUCAUGAAAUCCUUGCCUAAGCCAACGUCUAGAAGGAUUUUUCCGAUGUUUGCUUCUAGAAUUGUUAUAGUUUCAGGUCUUAGGUUUAAGUCCUUAAUCCAUUUUGAGUUGAUUUUUGCAUAAGGGGGGAGAUGAGGAUCCAGUUUCAUUCUCCUACAUGUGGCUAGCCAAUUAUCCCAGCAUCAUUUGUUGAAAAGGGUGUCCUUUCCCCACUUUAUGUUUUUGUUUGCUUUGUCAAAGAUCAGUUGACUGUAAGUAUUUGGGAUUAUUUCUGGGUUCUCUAUUCUGUUCCAUUGGUCUAUGUGCCGGUUCCCUCCCUGAUUAGCUUAAUAACUAACCUCCUGAAUUCUUUUUCAGGUAAAUCAGGGAUUUCUUCUUGGUUUGGAUCCAGUGCUGGUGAAUCAGUGUGAUUUUGGGGGGGUGUUGAAGAGCCUCAUUUUGUCAUAUUACCAGGGUUGGUUUUCUGGUUCCUUCUCAUUUGAGUAGGCUCUCUGAGAGAAGGUCUAGGGCUGAAGGCUGUCGUUCACAUUCUUUCGUCCCCCAGGUUGUUCCCUUGAUGUAGUACUCUCUUCCUUUUCCUAUGGAUGUGGCUUCCUGAGAGCCAAACUGCAGUGAUCGUUGUCUCUCUUCUGGGUCUAGCCACCCAGUGGGUCUACCCGGCUCCGGGCUGGUACUGGGGUUUGUCUGCAACGUCCUGUGAUGUGACCUAUGGGUCUCUCAGCCAUGGAUACCAGCGCCUGUUCUGGUGGAGGUGGCAAUGAUGGGGGUGCAAUGGACUCCGUGAGGGUUCUUAGCUUUGGUGGUUUAAUGCUCUAUUUUUGUGCUGUUUGGCCUCCUGCCGGGAGGGGGCGCUUUCCAGAGAGCAUCAGCUGUGGUAGUGUGGCGAGGAACCGGCGGUGGGCGGGGCCCUAGAACUCCAAGAUGAUAUGCCCUUUGUCUUCUGCUACCAGGGUGGGUAGGGAAGGACCCUCAGGUGAGGGUGGGGUAGGCACCUCUGAGCUCAGGCUCUCCUUGGGCGGUCCUUGCUGCGGCUGCUGUGGGGGCUGGGGGUGAGAUUCCCAGGUCACUGGAGUUAUGUACCUAGGAGGAUUAUGUCUGCCUCUGCUGAGUCAUGCAGGUUGUCAGGGAAGUGGGGGAAAGCCGGCAGUCACAGGGCUCACCCAGCUCCCACCCAAACCAAAGGGCCGGUCUCACUCCCACCGUGCACCCCCCAACAGCCCCCAGUCCGUUUCCAGGCGGAGAGGGAUACAGGCCUGAAAACCUGCCCCAGGCUACCCGCCUCCCAGCUGCGAGAGAAAAAGGCUUGGUUCUUCCCCCGCCUGUGGAGUCAGCACCCCGGAUUCGUGCCCUGCCCUAGUUCUGGCCAGGAGGAUUCUCACCCAGUUCAAACUGUUACAACGCUCAGCUAGAGAUUUCCUUCUCCCUGUGGAGUUUUACCCCCUCCUCUCCCGAUGGAUCCCUGUGGUGCCAGCAGGAAUGGGCUGCUCGGGGACCCAGCGAGCUCCGCGGGCCUUUCCGCUGCUUCCUCUACCCCUGUACCUCACUGGGCUCCCCAGACGGACUCAGCUCCAGGUGUCUGUGAACUCAAGAGAAGCCUUUCAUUCUAGACAUAGUAGUUAUUUUCUAAAUCAUCUUUAAACUUAUUUGCUGGAAUAUUGUGGGGGUAAAGUGCAAACUUCCCCUUCACCAUCUGAAGGUUUGCUAAAAAUCAACAGGCAGAAGGCGAAUUAACAGGAGAAAUGGCAUGCCAAUUUGUUUGAUCACAGUUUUACAUGAAGAAUGAAGACCCAAAGACACAUGAGAAAUUGUCCAUUUUUAUGCAACACCAGACCAGGCGAUGCUCUAAGACAGGUACAACAAAGUAUGGACAUGCGUGUAGAAAUACGAGUCAACUAAAGGGUGUGAUCUACUGCUAAUAGGCUGAGUGGGGACACCCAGACUCUUCCUGGCCCCUGUGAGCAGCUUCCUUUCCUUCUGGUGUGGGGCAGGAACUUCUCUGGAAUGGGGAUCUUCUGACCCACAGUCAAACAAGAAUUGGACAGAAGUCACAUCAGGGAGACCAGAGACUAGAGUAUUGCAUCAUAGAGGAAAGACACUGAUGACAAGACCUCAGGGGAGCAGUGGAACUGGAGGCCUGGGAGCUUGGGACGUGUUCUCCGGGUGAAGUUGGCUGGCCAGCUGAUGACCUACACCAGUGCCAUUCACUCCUCAUGUGUCCCCCGGGAAUUCAUAGUGUGUGUCAUCAGGUCAAAAAUCAUCCAGUGAUUUUCAACAGCAGUAAUCAUGCCCUCAUGCCCAGGAGCCACGGAAACAGGGGAAGGAAGGAAGUU